rnacentral:rRNA from 1 species
UGCGGGGGGGGCAAGCGUUGUUCGGAAUUACUGGGCGUAAAGGGCGCGUAGGCGGCCUGCUAAGUCGGAUGUGAAAUCCCUCGGCUCAACCGAGGAACUGCAUCCGAUACUGGCGGGCUUGAAUCCGGGAGAGGGAUGUGGAAUUCCAGGUGUAGCGGUGAAAUGCGUAGAUAUCUGGAGGAACACCGGUGGCGAAGGCGGCAUCCUGGACCGGUAUUGACGCUGAGGCGCGAAAGCUAGGGGAGCAAACGGG